ensembl:lncRNA
GGUGCCUCGAGGCGUUACCAAGGUAACUGUCACAUAGCAAUACUUUGGUUUAAAUCACUUCUGAUUUUACGUAAUGACGUCAGGCAGAAAUGUGGCAUAAGUAAUGCGCGAACAGCUGUUUCUUAAACACGUGUAAAGCGAAACAUGCAGAAGAAGUCUGUGAAGCUGAUCUGAUUUGUUUUUGAAGCAAUGUGAAUAAUUAAUACAGGAGGCGGAAAUGGCUUCUUAAUUUGAUGAGGGCAGACUUAUCCCCCGACAUGACGAGAGAAGAGUCCGACAGAGCUGGGUAUGUGGUCUGCGAACAACAUUUCAGGCCAAAGGACAUAAACUCAAAGGGUAGAAGAAAACGUCUGGCUCCUGAAGCCGUCCCCAUCCUUCUGCACACUAUAAAGGAGGAACAGAGAGGUACAGACAUUCAGUGAGAAUAAUGGUUUACAUUCUUUUGUCUCUGACAGACAGUUUUUAAAAACAUAUUGUGCGUAACUUUUCUGGUGCUGUAGUAACAUUUGAAAUUGUGUUCUUCUAGAUUUGGAGAUGCCUUCUACUGAUGUUCAUGCUCCAGUGCCUCUGCAAGACACACCCCCAUAUGAACAGGUCGUGGCAAUGUUUAACAAGCUGCUGGCAGAGAAGGAUGAGAAAAUCAAGGAUCUGAAAAGCAUUCUGCAGAGAGAGAGGGCCAGAAUGCGGCUGAUGAAGUUCCGCAUGAACAGCAAAAUCAGAGAACUGAAAAGAAAACUCGAACAGCAGCAGAACAGUAGCAGUGACCAAGGCGAUCAGCUGACUGCUGCCUCCGACUGCCUUCCACAGGCAGCAAAGGAGUUUUUUGACAAGCAAAUAGCCAUGGCCAAGGUGAGGAAACACGGCCAGAGAUAUGACAAGAAACAAAAGGACAUGGCAAUCCAGCUGUACAAACAGAGCCCAAGCUGUUACUCUGAACUCCAAAAAAUGUUUCAGUUACCGUCUUCAACCACUCUGAGGAGGCACCAGGUGGUCAGUCAGGAAGCGAGUCCAAGUGAAGAGGAGGAUCGGGAGCCUUUGGGAUGGCCUGCCAGUCAGAAGGACACACCAGGUGACCCAGAGAGAGGUGAGGAGGUGAAACUUGCUGAUGUAGCUGGAUGGGUGGUGCAGAAAGUGGCUCAAGAUCCAGAAGUCAGUGCUUGUACCGAAUGUGAAAGUUUGCUUGUGGAGACCAAUGACACAGAGCACAACUAUCACACACGGAUGGAGAAGGAUGCCGUCUCAGCUGUGAAGAAAAGCCCAACCUCUGCCCGGCUGCUUCAUCCAUCCGAAGCUUUCAAAGAAUGCAUUUCGAAAUGUGACAGCGUCAUCCAAAAAAUCCCCCCAAAUGCAAUGGCCCCGAAGAAAUUAAAGGCCUACCUCAGAGCCAGCGGUGCUUUCAGUGAGCUCCACCGCAUCCAUCCUGCCCACUCAAAGGCCAUCGAGAGGGUCGCCGUGAAUAAAUAUGUGAUGUGCAGGGUGGUGGCCGAGCUGAAGGAAACAGCACAAAACAGAAAACGCACACAUGAGAAAAAAAGUGCUGCGUGUCAAGAGCUAAAUGUUAGCACCCUUGAAGUAAAUCAGGACUAAAUAAAUAUAAAAUGUUGUUAAUUUGAUAAUAAAUUAUUUUAGGCCAUUCUAACUUGUCUGUGUUGUUUCAAGCUUUCCUCCAUUUGACCUAGACGCAUUUAGUUUUUCAAUUUCAGUUCAAUUUUACAUAGUGCCGUGCCCAAAGGCACUUAUUGUAAGGUAAAGACGCUGCAAUAAUACAAAGAAACCCCCAACAAUCAGCUGUUUCAGUCUCCAUCACUGUAUUCUAGCUGUCCGGUGCGUGUACGUGGGUGUGCGAAGAAACUCUAGCCAGAGAAAAC